rnacentral:piRNA from 1 species
UCAAGCGACACCAACGUUGAAUGCGGU